rnacentral:piRNA from 1 species
UGGAUUAAUGGGAGCUAUGAGAACGACACC